UAGGGGAGGCAGCAGUGGGGAAUUUUGGACAAUGGGCGAACGCGUGAUCCACCAAUGCCGCGUGCAGGAAGAAGGCCUUCGGGUUGUAAACUGCUUUUGUACGGAACGAAAAGCUUCGGGUUAAUCCCUGGGGGUCAUGACGGUACCGUAAGAAUAAGCACGGGUAAAUUACGUGCCAGCAGCCGCGGUAUUACGUAGGGUGCAAGCGUUAUUCGGAAUUACUGGGCGUAAAGCGUGCGCGGGCGGUGUUGUAAGACAGAGGUGAAAUCCCCGGGCUCAACUUGGAAAUUCCUUUUGUGACUGCAAGGCUGGAGUGCGGCAGAGGGGGAUGGAAUUCCGCGUGUAGCAGGGAAAUGCGUAGAUAUGCGGAGGAACACCGAUGGGGAAGGCAAUCCCCUGGGCCUGCACUGACGCUCAUGCACGAAAGCGUGGGGAGCAAACAGGAUUAGAUACCCUGGUAGUCCACCCCUUAAACGAGGUCAACUGGUUGUUGGGUCUUAACUGACUCAGUAACGCAGCUAACGCGUAAGUGACC
rnacentral:rRNA from 1 species